UACUUCUGUAAUUUUUUCUUUAUUAAACAAUAAUUAUAUAAUACAAAGAGACAACAUGAUACAUAUUUUGGAACAUAGAAACCAUGUUAUAACUAAACCUGUAACAAAACCACUAGUAUCACCAACAACCUGACAAUUGUUCUCCCAUGGCAUUGUGCCAGUGAGCAUCAUAGGAAUAAGUGCAGAUUGUUUUCCAGUUAGAGAUUCACUGUGGACAUAAGCAUUCACCAACACUAGCACAAAAUGACUGUCUUAUCAUUUAAAUUACAGCUUUAUUAAUUGGCAAACUACACAUUUAUUUCAUAAUGACAUCUAAAUGAGAACCUGGGAAGUGUAUACUUUCGAAAGGCAUUAAGGAGGUUUCUGUAUCAUAAAAGAACCUAGAGUUACAUUCAAGAUGUUAAGUCUGCAUUGUGGCUUAAUGAGCAGCAUACGGAUAUGUGGUUUACAAACAUCUAGCACGUUAGGUUUGUCAUCAGUGAUAUAGAGUAUGGAUGUAAAAACAGAAUGGUAAGAUGUUGCAUUGAGAAGUUAUGGAAAGUGGAGGGCAAUCCCCUGCAGAUCACACACUACUACAAAAUACAAAGGGAAACAAAAACAAAACACACACACACAAAAACACACAUAUUACUUGACCUUUGUGUUAAUAAAUGUUUAUGUCCACUGUUUCCAGGUGUGGAAUGAGCAGCACAUUGUGCUCUGCAGAACACUGCUGCAGAUAACAUCUAGGGGAUAAGGCACUUAUGGGAAAUAUACUAACACCUGUCAACUAUUUUGAUACAAUAAUAUUAAAACUAGAAGUUAAUCCUCAGGCAAUUGCUUUGUUAGUUCCAACAUCAAAGUUUAGGUUAUCCUAGGACAUGAUCAUAAUGAAAAUGCCACAUGGGUCUUGUCUGCCUUUAGAGGGUCACUCUAGGCAACAAUCACUAAAGCAUGCUGAAGUGGUUAUGGUGCCACGAGUCAAUAAGCGUCAUCCACCAGUAGUCUGUCGAACCGCUUAUGAAUGGUUUUGCACCUACCUUGCUGUGUCCAAUGCCUGCAUUCCUUCUGGUCUGAUAAAGUGGAAGUUCAUACUUUAGCAUUAUUAUACCAGGUUUAGAGGCAGAGUCAUCAGCUGACAGUCAGAAAUUUAAUACGGUUUAAACCAGAUAUGAGUUUAAAUGAUAAAAACAUAAUUUUAUUUUAUCAGACCAACUCAGACUGGAAGGAAAGUGGGUGCCAGAAACGGCAAGGUCAGACCAUUCAUUGUGCCAUUUAAUUGUACGAUUAAAUGAGUUUUGCAGAAGAGCGGAGCAAUAAUUUUUUUUCCAAAAAGGCUUAGAGGUUGACAUAAACUGUAUUGAGGACCAUGCAUACUCUUUUGCUACUUGAGACUACAAUGAGCUAAAGUACUUACGGACAGUGCUCUUUAACUUGUUUCGUGUCUUACUUUGUACUACUCUCACCCAAUUGAGAUUUUACUUGUUUGGAGGUGUGUUUACAAUAAUAUUAAAAUUAUAUCAGCUUCUGAAUAGACCAUAAAGAACCUUUACCUUCCUGGCAUAUCUCUCCCCAUGCUAAGCUAUUCAUACUUAUUCCAAAGUAUAGAUAAAGGAUGAUUGUUUUUGAUUGUUACUCAAAAUGCAGAGAAAACGUUUGGCUGCAUCUCAAGCAGAAUGUUACAAUUGUAUGAAAAGAAAAAAAACACAAAACAAAAAUACUAUUAUAAUAAAAAUUUAAAGACAUGUUGAAUGGUACAGUGUACAGUGAUGAGAUGGUACCGUCUACAGUAAAAAAAAAAGUUCAGUGUUUGUAACCAUGUUUGUUUUCUGCACACAGUUACAGUCUUGUUACAUAGGUUAAGAAAAUUGCUUGAUAUAACAUAAAAUAACUACCAUAAUAAAAUUACAUGACAGGCUUUCUGCGUAUGCUAACCUUAAUGUAUAAAUACUAUACAAGAAAUGCUAUCAUGCAAAGGAUUAACUCAACAUCCCCUGGCACCAUCCACGGUUUGAUAUAAACAGAGGGAACGUCACCUCCCAGCUACAUUAAUAAGGCAGAAUUAAUAUGUCUGCAUUACCAGUGUCAAUAACACACCCAUAGCACUCUAAGCAAAUCAAUGCUGGACCGAACUGACACUGAUUAUGUAGAAGUGUUAAAAAAAAAAACUCUUUUUUUUUUUUUUUUACCAUUGUAAUAUAAAUCUGUUAUAUACCAUUUCAUAAUGUAUUUAUUCUUUUAAAUUCAUGUAUAUUGAAAUUUUUAUAAACUCACUUUAUUUCAGCUCUGAGACAGUAUCUUUUCUACACAUCUUAUACAACUCCUGUGAAGUCAUCAUAACUGAUUACCUGUGUCCAAUCAGAUUCUUCUCCUAGAAAAAUUAACUCAGUCUUGAAACCAGUGGUAUUCUAUGAGAAGCUUUCACUUUCACUUUCAGGAACAGUUUAAAUAGACACUAUGGUCCCCAAAACAACUUUAGCUUAACCCCUUAAGGACCAAACUUCUGGAAUAAGAGGGAAUCAUGACAUGUCACACGUCAUGUGUCCUUAAGGGGUUAAACAGACAAUUUUGGUGUAUAGAUCAUGCCUCUGCAAUCUCACUGCACAAUUCCCCCCCAUGUUUGUUUCAAAUAUGCAGCCCCAGCCACAUUCUGCAUGCAAACAAAAUGGUUUAAUUUUCAAUCAGAUGUAACUUACUUUAAAAGUUUCUAUCUUCUGCUUUGUAAAUUUAACUUUAAUCACACACUUGCAAGCUAUUAACAGAGCAGGACAUAAAUUAUAAAUUAAAUAUAAUUUGCAGUACAGGAAGUGUAAACAUUAGAUGACUUUGUGGGAAGUGUAUAAGAAGGCUUUGUAAGUCACAUGUAGGGAGACAUGGCUAGGAUUGCCCAAACAAAGUGAUUUAACUCUUAAAUGUCAGAGAAUUGAGCAGUUAGACUACUGGGGCAUGAUCUACACACCAAAACUGCUUAAUUAAGCUAAAGUUGUUUGGUGUCUAUGGUGUCCCUUUAAGGCAAAUGAGAAACAUUCCCAUCUGUCUGCAUGACGAUAAUGUGUUACCAAGGAGAUUUAAAAUAAAAAAAGCCAAUUUUUUUGGAAAUUUUAACUUGUAUAAAAUGAGCCUGUAGCUUACAGAUAAUCCAUAUUUCUAAGAGGUAAUUAAGCUCUACAUAAAAUAACAUUGUCAAAAAGAGGUUCAUUUAUCAGAUAAACUGAAAUGUAACAGACAAUUGUAAAAGCUUAAAGAUCUGAUGGCCCCUCAAUAGUUAGUUACAGAUUUGUUCCCUGGUUUUAAUACUGUUCUUUGCUGGCUCUAUGUUGCCAAAUGAUAGUGUUAGCUUAGUUAUGCCCUUAGUGCUUCACUAAGAAAAUUGCCCUAGAGAAAAGCAUUGAUUAUUUUUCCAACCCCACAGAUUUCUGUAUGUGCUACUGAUGGAUAUUUUUUAACAUGCAGUAUGUCAUAAUGGCUAAAGAAUAACAACAAUUAAUAAUUACAUUUUUUAAAAAUCAAACGCCUGCCCUACUUCCCCAAACUAUGAAAUCAUUAAAAAAAUAAAUCAUUAAAUCCCAUUCUAGAAACCAAGUAUAUCACCAGUGCAUUUUGGGGAGGUGUAGGUUUAGGAUGAUCAUGUACUAAAUUUAAAUCAGAAAUUAGUAUUUAAUCAAUGCAUAAUGUCUAUCAUAGGCAGUAGAGCACUUUUUUUUGUCAAUGAUUAAACCUGGGAUGCUGUCACUAUAGCACAGUUCUGUUUCACAAGGUUAAUCAUCCAGUAAGAGUUUUUUCAUAGCCUCUUUAAGUCUUAUUACAUGUAUAUUAUCCCUGAGUAUUUUAAGUUUGCAUACUUAUAUAAAUUCUAUACCUAUAAUUCACCUGGUAUUAUAUUUCACCUAUACAUUUUGCUAGCAAAAGUAUAGAUUUUAUAGAAAAAUAAUACCCCCCAAAAUACCGUCAACUGUUAAUUUGCACCACACAGGAGUAUGCCAAUAGUUAACUGGCAGGGGAAGAACCGGAGAAGCCUCCUCCUCAUCCAAGUAGCUUUCCUGCUCUCCUUCAGAGCAAAUACAGUACAUACCUUGUGACUGCUGAAAUUAUCCCUGUCAUUUACAACGUACUAGCAUCUCAUAGCUUGCCGGAGAAAUGCAGGACAAGUGUGACUGAAAUUACACACCACAGCACUGGCAAAGAAGCCAGAGAGUUGGAAUGACAAGGGAAUGACAAUUAAGCCUGCUUCCAAAGCAGGCUUAAUUAUGUAACAGGCAGUUGGUGUGUGUUACACUAAUGUAACCCCAUCAAUCCAGCAUUACGGUGGCUAAACAACACUAGAGAGUAGUAACAUUGGAUUAAAAGCUCCUUAUGCAAUGAAAAAGAACUUAUGCGUUCAUUGCAUAAAUGGUACCUGAUUUGCCAGGUAAAAGUUAUGCUAUUUUAAAAGAACAAACAAUUAAUCUAUAAAUUGUGCUAGCAAAUGUAUUUUAAAAAAGUUUUUUUUCUCCAACCUGUCAAUCAGUUCUUUGGCAAAGACUAUAUGCAAAAGAAUGUACUGACAAGGGAGAGCAGAAAAGACCUCCCCACUGGUAGUCCAUCUGUUCUCCCUACAUAGCAACCACAUAGCAUGUGCUGUGGUUGCUAUGGCAGCUCUAGCCAAUGCUGCCAGUGCUGGAUAGAGAAUAUAGAAACCGUAACUAAUAUCACUCCUUUUAGAUGUCGGCAUGCUGGCAAAUGAAACCAACGUGUUGGCAUCACAGAGGAAGUUUGGUGAGUAAAAGGAGAGAGCUGGAGAAGCAUUGGAACAGAGGUAAGGUGAACAUAUCUCAAUAUUUUACAUUGAAUACAUCAUGUAUGUCUCGAAUACGUGAUGUAUUUGGGGACUAUUUAGUUCAACUUAAAAUACGGACAACAGGUUCACCUAUCAUGACAUGAUAAUGCCAGAGGUAUUUCAACAUAGAAACAUAGACAUUACAUUAAAAAAAAAUUUAAAAAAAGAACCCAACAAAAAAAAAACAUUUAUGCUCAGAGUUCUUCAUCUUGUAUCAAACUGAAGGGCAAAUAUAAGAUGUUAUACUUAUUCGCACAUACACUGGAGUUGGAAAAAAUUAUUCCCGCUUUGUGUCCUCCUUAUCUUUGCUUGGAGAAGUCCACACUUCAGUGUACAACAGAGUCCCCAGAAAAACAACAAAAGUGCCAAUCCAGUGCCAAGUGGUAAAAGGAUUAUUAAAGUACAAAAUGGAAAUAAUGAGGCUAAGGAACUUGCGAAGUGUGACAACCAGGGUUACUGUGAGAGAAGGGCACUCAGUGGUUAGGAUAAACACACCCCGAAUGCACACAUACCUGAAAAGUGGAGUUAAGGAAGGUUGAAACAAAAUUAUAUUCACACUAAUUCAAAAAGCACCCAUACAAGACAUAUGCAUGAAUAUAGGACCUCUGAUUAACAUGGUAUAGCCAUAAUGAGUAAACUACAAUAAAAUAUAGACUGAGCUACAGGAUGCAAUGUUAAGUAAUGUGUGUAAAUGAAAAUUAAUG